rnacentral:rRNA from 1 species
ACGCUGGCGGCACGCCUAACACAUGCAAGUCGAACGAAGUAGCAAUACUUAGUGGCAGACGGGUGAGUAACAUGUGGGUAUCUGCCCUUUGGCCUGGAAUAACACGAGGAAACUUGUGCUAAUACCGGAUAAGUCUUUACGGAGAAAGCUUUAUGCACCAUUGGAUGAGCCUGCACUUGAUUAGUUUGUUGGUGGGGUAAUGGCCUACCAAGACUGUGAUCAAUAGCUGAUUUGAGAGGAUGAUCAGCCACAUUGGGACUGAGACACGGCCCAAACUCCUACGGGAGGCAGCAGUGGGGAAUCUUGCACAAUGGAGGAAACUCUGAUGCAGCGAUGCCGCGUGAGUGAAGAAGGCCCUUGGGUUGUAAAGCUCUUUCGUCGGGGAAGAAAAUGACUGUACCCGAAUAAGAAGGUCCGGCUAACUUCGUGCCAGCAGCCGCGGUAAUACGAAGGGACCUAGCGUAGUUCGGAAUUACUGGGCUUAAAGAGUUCGUAGGUGGUUGAAAAAGUUAGUGGUGAAAUCCCAGAGCUUAACUCUGGAACUGCCAUUAAAACUUUUCAGCUAGAGUAUGAUAGAGGAAAGCAGAAUUUCUAGUGUAGAGGUGAAAUUCGUAGAUAUUAGAAAGAAUACCAAUUGCGAAAGGCAGCUUUCUGGAUCAUUACUGACACUGAGGAACGAAAGCAUGGGUAGCGAAGAGGAUUAGAUACCCUCGUAGUCCAUGCCGUAAACGAUGUGUGUUAGACGUUGGAAAUUUAUUUUCAGUGUCGCAGCGAAAGCGAUAAACACACCGCCUGGGGAGUACGACCGCAAGGUUAAAACUCAAAUGAAUUGACGGGGACCCGCACAAGUAGUGGAGCAUGUGGUUUAAUUCGAAGAUACGCGCAGAACCUUACCAACACUUGACAUGUUCGUCGCGACUCUAAGAGAUUAGAGUUUUCGGUUCGGCCGGACGAAACACAGGUGCUGCAUGGCUGUCGUCAGCUCGUGUCGUGAGAUGUUGGGUUAAGUCCCGCAACGAGCGCAACCCUCACUUUUAGUUGCCAUCAUUAAGUUGGGCACUCUGAAAGAACUGCCAGUGAUAAGCUGGAGGAAGGUGGGGAUGACGUCAAGUCCUCAUGGCCCUUACGUGUUGGGCUACACACGUGCUACAAUGGUAUCUACAACAGGAAGCAAGACUGCGAAGUUAAGCAAAUCCCUAAAAGAUACCUCAGUUCGGAUUGCACUCUGCAACUCGAGUGCAUGAAGCUGGAAUUACUAGUAAUCGUGGAUCAGCGUGCCACGGUGAAUGCGUUCCCGGGUCUUGUACACACCGCC